CUGCAUCCCCCUUCAUGGUCACUGCAUCUUCCGUCACACCAUACUGCAUAAACCUUUAGGUACCCUGCCUCCAAUGGGUGGGCACUGCAUUCACGUUCAGCGACACAGAAGACAGCACUGCAAACCCUGCAGGGACACGACCUCCAGCUGAUGUGGAAAUGAGGCGCACUGCAAUCACUGCAGGAUCACUGCAUCCACUGCAUGUUCAGAGCAUCCACUUUCACGGACACAGCAGGGUACACUACAACCACUUCAGGGACACUGCAUCCAGAUGAAGUGGCACUGCAGGUGCACUGCAAUGACUGCAGGAUCAAUGCAUGGUCCUUCAUGGGAAGAGAAUCCUGAUUCACAACAUACUGCAUCCACCGUGACUCACACUGCAGACACAGCAUGGGUACUGCAUCCACAUUCAGGGAACUAUAGGGGGCACUGCAACCACUGCAGCAUCACUCCAUCCACCUGCACGGGCUCUGCAUUAUCCAUCACAAAAUACUGCACCCACCUUGUGGGACACUGCAUCCACUACAUGAGUACUUCAUCCACAUUACUGGACAAUGCAGAGGGCACUGCAAGCACUGCAGGAACACUACAUCCACCUUCAUGAGAUCUGCAUCAUCCAUCAUAACAUACUGCAUCCACCUUGUGGGACACUGCAUCCACUGCCUGGGCAUUGCAUCCACAUUCCCGGGCAAUGCAGGGGCACUGCAACCAGUGCAGCAACACUGCAUCCAGCUGAAGUUGCAUUGCAGGCUCACUGCAAUCACUGAGGGAUCACUGCAUCCAAUGGAUGUUCACAGCAUCCACAGUCAGGGACACAGCUGGCUGCACUGCAUCCACUGCAGGGACACUGCAUCCAGAUGAACUCGCACUGCAAUUGCACUGCAAUGACUGCAGGAUCACUGCAUCGUCCUUCAUGGGCCCUGAAUCCUGCUUCACAACAUACUGCAUCCACCUUGAGUCACACUGCAGACACUGCAUGGGCACAGCAUCCACAUUCAGGGACAUGGCAGGGGGCUCUGCAACCACUGCAGCUACACUGCAUCCAGCUGAGGUGGCACUGCAGGUGCACUGCAAUCACUGAGGAUUCACUACAUCCAUUGCAUAGGCCCUGCAUCAAAAUUUCAGGACAAUGCCGGGGACACUGCAACCUCUGGAGGGACACUGCUUCCCCCUUCAUGGGCACUGCAUCCUCCGUCACAACAUACUGCAUAAACCUUUAGGUACACUGCCUCCACUGCAUGGGCACUACACUCACCUUCAGCGACACAGAAGGCGGCACUGCAACCUCUGUAGGGACACUGCUUCCAGAGAUGUGGAAAUGCAGGCGCACUCCA
rnacentral:lncRNA from 1 species